AUACGUAGGUGACAAGCGUUAUCCGGAUUUACUGGGCGUAAAGGGCGUGUAGGCGGUCUUGCAAGUCAGAAGUGAAAUUCCUGAGCUCAACUCGGGCGCUGCUUCUGAAACUGCAGGACUUGAGUGCUGGAGGGGAUAGCGGAAUUCCUAGUGGAGCGGUAAAAUGCGCAGAUAUUAGGAAGAACACCGGUGGCGAAGGCGGCUAUCUGGACAGUAACUGACGCUGAGGCGCGAAAGCGUGGGGAGCAAACAGGAUUAGAUACCCUGGUAGUCCACACUGUAAACGAUGAAUGCUAGGUGUAGGGGGUAUCGACCCCUUCUGUGCCGCAGUCAACACAAUAAGCAUUCCGCCUGGGGAGUACGGCCGCAAGGUUGAAACUUAAAGGAAUUGACGGGG
rnacentral:rRNA from 1 species